rnacentral:rRNA from 1 species
ACCUGGGAAUGGCAUUGAGGACUGUGGAGCUCGAGUGCGGCAGAGGGAGGUGGAAUUCCACGUGUAGCAGUGAAAUGCGUAGAGAUGUGGAGGAACACCGAUGGCGAAGGCAGCCUCCUGGGCCGACACUGACGCUCAUGCACGAAAGCGUGGGGAGCAAACAGGAUUAGAUACCCUGGUAGUCCACGCCCUAAACGAUGUCAACUGGUUGUUGGGGAAGGAAACUUCCUUAGUAACGAAGCUAACGCGUGAAGUUGACCGCCUGGGGAGUACGGCCGCAAGGUUAAAACUCAAAGGAAUUGACGGGGACCCGCACAAGCGGUGGAUGAUGUGGAUUAAUUCGAUGCAACGCGAAGAACCUUACCUACCCUUGACAUGCCAGGAACCCUGCUGAGAGGUGGGGGUGCCCG